rnacentral:rRNA from 1 species
GUCUUUUUGAUAUUAAUUUAAAGUCUAACCUGCUCAAUGAUUAUUAAAUAGCCGCAGUAUUUUGACUGUGCAAAGGUAGCAUAAUCAAUAGUUUCUUAAUUAGGAACUGGAAUGAAAGGUUGAAUAAGAAAAUAACUGUCUCAAUUUUAAAAAAUUAGAAUUUUAUUUUUAAGUUAAAAAGCUUAAAUUUAAUUUAAAGACGAGAAGACCCUAUAGAGUUUAAUUUUAUUUUAAUAUUUAAUAAUUUAAGAAUUAAAAUUUUAUUUAUUAAUUAAAAUUUAAUUGGGGUGAUUAAAAAAUUAAUUUAACUUUUUUUUUAUAUUACAAAAAUUUUUGAAUUAUUGAUCCAUUAGAAUGAUAUAAGAAUAAAUUACCUUAGGGAUAACAGCGUAAUUAUUUUAGAGAGUUCAUAUUGAAAAAAUAGAUUGCGACCUCGAUGUUGGAUUAAAAUUAAUAAUUGGUGUAGAAGCUAAUUUAUUAGGUCUGUUCGACCUUUAAAAUUUUACA